rnacentral:rRNA from 1 species
GCAAGUCGAGCGGAGUUGUGGUGCUUGCACCAUAACUUAGCGGCGGACGGGUUAGUAAUGCUUAGGAAUCUGCCCAUUAGUGGGGGACAACCUUUCGAAAGGAAUGCUAAUACCGCAUACGCCCUACGGGGGAAAGCAGGGGAUCUUCGGACCUUGUGCUAAUAGAUGAGCCUAAGUCGGAUUAGCUAGUUGGUGGGGUAAAGGCCUACCAAGGCGACGAUCUGUAGCGGGUCUGAGAGGAUGAUCCGCCACACUGGGACUGAGACACGGCCCAGACUCCUACGGGAGGCAGCAGUGGGGAAUAUUGGACAAUGGGCGCAAGCCUGAUCCAGCCAUGCCGCGUGUGUGAAGAAGGCCUUUUGGUUGUAAAGCACUUUAAGCGAGGAGGAGGCUCCUAUAGUUAAUACCUAUAGAGAGUGGACGUUACUCGCAGAAUAAGCACCGGCUAACUCUGUGCCAGCAGCCGCGGUAAUACAGAGGGUGCAAGCGUUAAUCGGAUUUACUGGGCGUAAAGCGUGCGUAGGCGGCUUUUUAAGUCGGAUGUGAAAUCCCUGAGCUUAACUUAGGAAUUGCAUUCGAUACUGGGAAGCUAGAGUAUGGGAGAGGAUGGUAGAAUUCCAGGUGUAGCGGUGAAAUGCGUAGAGAUCUGGAGGAAUACCGAUGGCGAAGGCAGCCAUCUGGCCUAAUACUGACGCUGAGGUACGAAAGCAUGGGGAGCAAACAGGAUUAGAUACC